AUACGAAGGGUGCAAGCGUUACUCGGAAUUACUGGGCGUAAAGCGUGCGUAGGUGGUCGUUUAAGUCCGUUGUGAAAGCCCUGGGCUCAACCUGGGAACUGCAGUGGAUACUGGGCGACUAGAAUGUGGUAGAGGGUAGCGGAAUUCCUGGUGUAGCAGUGAAAUGCGUAGAGAUCAGGAGGAACAUCCAUGGCGAAGGCAGCUACCUGGACCAACAUUGACACUGAGGCACGAAAGCGUGGGGAGCAAACAGGAUUAGAAACCCUAGUAGUCC
rnacentral:rRNA from 1 species